rnacentral:rRNA from 1 species
UACGUAGGUGGCAAGCGUUAUCCGGAUUUAUUGGGCGUAAAGCGAGCGCAGGCGGUUAAUUAAGUCCGAUGUGAAAGCCUUCGGCUUAACCGAAGAAGUGCAUUGGAAACUGGGUAACUUGAGUACAGAAGAGGAAAGUAGAACUCCAUGUGUAGCGGUGAAAUGCGUAGAUAUAUGGAAGAAUACCAGUGGCGAAGGCGGCUGUCUGGUCUGUAACUGACGCUGAGGCUCGAAAGCAUGGGUAGCAAACAGG